CACGACUGGUUCCCCGACAGCUCAGCCCGCACCGGGCCUCCACCGCCCGCGCCUCCGGUCUCCCCACCCCGUCCACACCCCGUUCCCAGCCUCCCCUCGCUCUUGGUGGGGAUGCUGAUCGGCCGAGAGCUGUCCCUGGAAAUGUCCCCGUGCACCUGCUUGUCCAUGCUGGGAAAGCUGGGAGGAAACCCGAGCUGUGGAAUUAAACCGAAAUUUAAGACUCAUCCCAAUAUCCAUGUCCCCCUGCCCUCCCUUUCCUAAGCAUUUUUUAAAAUGCAAAAACCAAAACGCACAUAAAUUUCCGGGUUGAUGAGAAUUUAUUAUUCUGCUGAGUCAGCACAGGUCACACCGUGUGGCAAAUUCCGCGCGGGGCGGGGUAGUCUCGCGUGUGUGAAGCCUGCGUGUAUGCACCGUGUGUGUGCCUGUGUGCACUGUGCGUGCACUGUGUGUGUGGACCAUGUAUGUGCACGUGUGCACCGCGUGUGUGCACCCGUUGGAAACCUGGUGCUGAAACACGGCAGGGCUUAGGCUGGAGUCCUACCUUCAUCGUUUUCACUCGUCCUGUUUCAUCGGUAAGAUAGGUGAUGCUUUGGGUUUUGCCCCCGCCCCCCACAGGGGUGGUGAAUGAAACUGUAACGAUCUCCAGGUCAUAUGGGAGAAAGCAGUAGAUGCUCUCUUAGGAAAUGUAGAUUUAACCAAAGGUUUUAGAGCUGAUUUAUUUUGUUACAGGUGGGUGGGGGCAUCUGACUUGCUUCUCUGAAGUUUCUCACUAGCUGACCCUGUCCCAUUCAAAUUAAGAAGUUCAUAAGCAAAGGGGGUUUCUUGGGCUUGGGGGUUGUAACGGGAGUGAGGUGAACAGCGAGUGGAUGGGUGGCUGUGAGUGUGGAACUUAAUGUCAUUCACCCCCACAGGGACGUCCUUUCUGCCCAGCAGUAGAAUUUUGCAAUAGUUCAGUAGACUGGAAGAUUUUGAUUAUUUUAAGUUGGCUAGUGUGAACUUUUUUUUUUUUUUUUUUUUUUUUGGUACCGGGGAUCCAACUCGGAAUCUUGCUCUUGUGAGGCAGGCACUGGAACCACUGAGCUAAAUCCUUGGCCUAGUGUGAACUUUUAAAAGAGAAAGAAGCAGUAGAGGAGAAAAAUUGGCAGGUAACCCAGUUGAGCUCCUGUGCUGGGGGGAGGCCGGAGUGCAGUGGCCAGGGUCAGGGUGAGGCUAAGUGUGGGCUUGACAGUCCUUACAUCCCUGGCACCCCUGCAGGCCAAGGUAGGUGGUCCCCUACCCCUAAGGCCUGGCAAUAGGAAGGCUGUGAGGGCCUGGCAUCGCCAGCUUGUGUUUUCGGCCUCUUUCUGACAUUUGGGGGCAGUGGAGCAGGCGAGCACCCCUGAAAUGGAUCCCAGCACCUCACAGGCGAGCAGCGAAGUUUGGCGGUAGCGAGCGGUCGAGCCGGGGGCCCGGGCGCGGAGCAUGCAGGCCGGGCGGGCGCGGGG
rnacentral:lncRNA from 1 species